rnacentral:rRNA from 1 species
AUGGCGGACGCGCUGAUCGGGCCGCUGGUGGGGAGGCUCCAGGAGCUGGCGCUGAGCCAGGCGCGGGCGCUGGUGGCGGUGAACAAGGACAUCCGGAGGCUCCGCGACAAGCUCAUGUUUCUGCAGGCCUUCCUCCGGGAGGCCGACGCCAAGCGCCACCUCUUCUCCGACGAGAUCACCAGAGUGUGGCUGCAGCAGACGCGCGACGCCGUCUUCGACGCCGAGGACGCCGUCGAUCACUACUACCUCCAGGUCGACAUGUCAAGGUAUCCGUGGUGGGCUCGUCCAAGUAUGAGAUAUGUUGCAACCUUUACAACACAAGUAAGCAUGCGACACAAAUUGUCUGCAAAGGUAAAGGAUAUCAACUCAAGGCUCGAGGACAUCAUUGAAAACAAAGACAAAUACAGAAUGGAGGACACGAAUAAGAAGUCUGAAUUAACAUGGAAAGCUUCUACAUCAAUAUCUUAUGCCCACAGAAAGUUGGAUGAUUUAGUGCCACCACAUAUACCAAUACAUGAUGAUAACCGGAAGAAACUGGAGAAUGCUAUUCUUCCUCCCACUGAAGAAGAGGAUGAAUAUCAUCAUCAUCCAGUUCUGAUAUCGGUGGUUGGAAAAAGUGGUGUUGGCAAGACAACUCUCGUUAGAGAUGUAUAUGAUAAGAUAGAUAAGAAAAAUUUUAUUGUUCAUGCAAUGGAGAGUUUUGCACCUUAUCUGACGGCAACCAAUAUUCAGCGGCAAAUUGUUCAAAAACUAAGAGAAGGUGGCAAUAAUUUCACAAGAAGCGAUGUCAACAAAGCUUUUGAUGAAAAAAUAAGAGGUCAGAAAUACUUGCUAGUGAUAGAUGGUGAAGUUAGCAGCACUGAUUGGAAGGACAUUCUGCUUAGCCUCAAAGUAGGUGCUAAAGGCAGUAGAAUAGUGCAUAUCACGCAGCAUAAACCUGAAGAGCCACCUAUCGGCUAUCUUCAUGUCAUUAUUAAUUUAGAAUCUCUUGGACAAGAGACUACUGUACAACUAUUCCACAAGAGGCUGAUUCAUAUUGAAGUGCAAGACGGGAUUUCUCAUGAUCGCCACCAAGACAUCCACAAUAUCACCGAAGGAUUGCCACUUGGUAUUGCUCUUUUAUCAGGUCUUUUACAAACCAAGGAGUUCCCUUGUGAGUGGACCAAUGUAUUUGACUAUCUAAAGUCCAAGCAAUCAAAGCGAAUACAUAGGAUACUAUCUGUGUGCUUCGAUGAUCUUCCACAUGAGCUGAAAUGUUGCUUCUUAUACUUUGCUGCACUGCCGGCCAACAUCAAGAUUGAAGCCCGCAUAUUGGUGUGCUUGUGGAUGGCAGAGGGAUUCCUAAGACCAAGAGGUGGGAAGACAAUGGAGAAGGUGGGCUACAUCUACUUGAAUGAGUUGAUUGCAAGGAAUCUAGUUAAGCCUGUGCAUAUGGAUGAGGAAGAUAAAUCUAGUGUUGGGAGUAUCUUUGUCACCAUCCAGAACAAAGUCCAUGAAUUUUUGCAGUUUGAAGCACAAGAGGCAAGUUUUGUGGAAGUCCACAGCGGUGAUGACAUCCCCACAUUAACAAGUGCUCGUCGCCUCUCUCUACAGAACUCCACAGAUAAAUAUGCCGUGCUGGCCAGUUCUUUGCCAAAGCUAAGAUCCAUCUUCUCACAUUUUGAGCAAGAUCCCAAAGAUCCUAGAGAAGAUCAAACUUAUUUAUGUUGCUCGCCUCAACUUAGGAAAAUCUCUAAGUGGAAGAGGAACAAAGACAUCAAAUCUCAUAUACAAGGAUUGUUGCAUAGAUCUGAGUUCCUUCGUGUGAUCAAUCUGCAAGGCAUCGAGAUUGGUAAGAGGUUGCCAGAUGAAAUAGGCAAUGUUGUGCAUGUGCAGUACCUUGGAAUUACAUCUUGUUCUUUGGAGGAAAUCCCAGGAUCCAUCGGAAGUCUCACUAGUCUUCAAACAUUAGAUGUGAGGGAAACUAGUGUUCGAGAGCUCCCAUUGUCCUUCUGGACAAUUAAGACACUAAGGCAUGUUUUUGGUGGUUUCCUGAAAUUUCCUAAGAGAAUUGGCAGGUUAAAGCACCUACAAACACUUGACUCCGUACAACUUGAUACAUUGGAUCAAGAUUUGGUUGGGACGUUAGGUGAGAUGAUCCAUCUUGAGUACUUAAGGGUUGGGAAUUCCUCGGGAGGCAAUGUGGUGGCUCUCUCGAAGGAUCUUGACAAGCUUGAGAACCUCAGGACUUUGAUCAUCAAAGGUGAAAAUAUUCCAUCAAGUUUAUUCACUAGUUACACCCAUCGCCGCCUCAAGUUCAUAGUGCUAGACGGGAAGCUGGAUUUGCCAUCUAACUUGAAUGGUGGCUUUUUUCUUCCUAAUCUCAUUACACUUUCACUGGCGAGCACAAGUAUAUCUCAAGAAUUCAUUGACAGGCUGGCUCAAUUGCCCUUUCUUGCCACCUUUUCCUUGUAUUCUAACUCCUACAAGGAUGACAAUAUUGCCUUCUCUCCUGAUGGAUUUCGUUGUCUGAAGAAGCUCAUGAUUGAUGUGGAAAAAAUAAAGAGAUUUGAGGCAAACAAUGCGCUUCCAAAACUCGAAGAAUUGGAUAUUCACUCCCAAUAUAUUGAAUAUUAUCAUGUCUUUAAGGAAAACGUCGAUCAUAAGAAGACUAUUGUGGUUGAUCUUAUGAAAAUCUUGUGA